rnacentral:snRNA from 1 species
GAAUGCGGGCUCAAAAGUUUG